rnacentral:rRNA from 1 species
GUACGGUGGCAAGCGUUGUCCGGAAUUAUUGGGCGUAAAGCGCGCGCAGGCGGUUCGUUUAAGUCUGAUGUGAAAGACCCACGGGCUCAACCGUGGAGGGUCAUUGGAAACUGGAGAACUUGAGUACAGAAGAGGAAAGCGGAAUUCCACGUGUAGCGGUGAAACGCGUAGAGAUGUGGAGGAACACCAGUGGCGAAGGCGGCUUUCUGGUCUGUAACUGACGCUGAGGCGCGAAAGCGUGGGGAGCAAACAGGAUUAGAUACCCUGGUAGUCCACGCCGUAAACGAUGAGUGCUAAGUGUUAGGGGGUUUCCGCCCCUUAGUGCUGCAGCUAACGCAUUAAGCACUCCGCCUGGGGAGUACGGCCGCAAAGGCUG